AGUUGAGAAUGCUUUGGUAGUGCACUAACUCUCUGUGUCUGCUCAUUCAUUCCCCAGGCCACGGACAGCCACUGGGGUAGAUUAUGGGGAUAAAUUACAGAUGAGAUAAACUUCCAAAGAUUUCAUCUAACACAAAGGAGCUGCUUAGAUAUUAAAAUAUAGAACCAUUUACAGUAAGGUUAACAUUGAUCCUUCAGUACAUAAACUUCUUUAGGUGGAUGAGUCUCUCUGCUGCGAUUAAGGAGGUUCUUGGCUGUUUGUGUUACUGCUGUGCUGCAAGACUCCAGACAUUUUCACCGACCAUAAGAAGAAGCAGCCAAUAGCAUCAUCGAACAUCUCUCUGAAGAUGCCAUUGCCACAAGAACUUUUAAGGAGAAUACAUGAAUUUCUACAACAAACUGCUUUUUUUAGCUCUUUCCCGUUGAGCCUUUUGUUGAUUGGAUUGGAGGAGUUAAUGGAAAGUAAUUUUUUUUCAUGCCCAUGCAAAAAUGAUCUGAAUGCACAGCUAACAUUGUUUGUCUUCACUGGACCUGCCCUUUUUAUUUUUGCUUUAAUGUACCUUGUUUUUAGGCCUUUUAAACAUAAAUGCAGUGUUUUUUCUGCAGAAGCAGAUGGUGAUACUCAUCAGAACUGUCCUAAAGCUUUUGCAUCUUGUCUGAUUCCACCUGUAAUGUGGAUCAUAAUUUUGCUGUUUGAUGGUGAUUACUUUGCUUGUGGGUUUACAAACUGGGAGGGAGUUUAUGUGUUUGAUGCUGAACUCAACAGGUAAUGGUGUAAACCAACUAACCAUACUCAAACCAACCGAAAAGUUUUGAUGGAAAAAAUUCGUUUGUCUCAGGUACAUUUCAUGUGUUAUAUGAGCUUUUUCUGUUAUCUUAAUGUCAUAAUGCAUAAGUAGUUUUCUUGCUACCUACCUACAUGUCUGAAAGGAAAAGAGUAAUUCUCUUCCCAGUAUGCUUGUUUAACCUGUGUUAAAGGCAUAGUUCAGCCAAAAAAAAAAAAAAAAAAUCAUCAUUGACUCACCCUCAUGUUGUUCUAAAGCAGCAUGACUUUCUUUCUGAGGAACACAAAAUAUAUCUUUUAAAUAAUUUUGUGAAUAAAUGGAGCCCAUGGAUUUCUAGUGUAUAGACAAAAACACUCUCAAAGUGUUGUUAGCUAUGUUGUCUUGCAGGUACUAUGUACACCUGGAUGUAAACAGUCACUCUGCAUAUUUAAUCCUACAAUAAAUCUCCAAAAAAUGAGAAUCUGACAGAUAUAACAGGCAACAUAGUAUAAUUAUAUAUAAUUGUAUUUAAUAGUAAAAAUGUAACUUUGAUUUUUUUCUUUCAGUUUUAUGGUUACUGCACAAUCUUUGUCUUCAGUGUCUUGAUUAUUAUCGUAGUGGGUUUUUAUGACUGCUAUAUAAGUGGUAAGUGUGACUGCUGCCGAAGUCACCUGUUCUGCUGCUGCAGACGAACAGCAGAGACACAGAAUGAGGGUCCUACUGCAGUGAAUACGAGACAGCAAGGAUCAGACAGUCCUGCUACAGCGGGACAGGUACAGCAAGAACCUGGCAGUUCUGCUACAGAAGACCUGGAAUUACAAAUGUUACAGUCAAAGGCAGAAUAAGGGAAACACAAUGAGAGCUAUGAGAGGAAAGACUUUAAAAACCCAACAGAGGAAAACAUCUCAUAAUGGCAGAAGAUACAAAUGGGUUUUGACAUGAGUGACAUUAAAGGAGAAGUCAACUUCCAAAACAAAGAUUCACAUAUAGUGUAUUGUCAUCCAAGAUGUUCAUGUCUUUCUUUCUUCAGUGGUAAAAUAAAUUUUUCUCCAUAUAAUGGACUGAUAUGGUGCACCGAUUUUGAACUUUUUAAA